ACACAGGUGUCCUUGAAAAUGAUACCUUGUCAUUUGUGUUAACUCAUACCCCACAAAAGCUUUGCAGGAAUCAGUGGCUAAAGGAGAAAAAAUGUGCCCACAGCUGCAGAAAUAAGGAUUAAUUGGUUUGUUGCUUUUCAAAUGAAUUGGUGUAUUAUAUUUUAAUAGUUCAAGCUGGUUCUAUAUUUAGCACCUAUACUUCUAGAAAAAAUUAAAAGGCUUUUGUUCCACUGAUCCUGAGGAUAAUCAGGCUUCAAAUUGGAGAUCAGGACUUGCAGAAUGGGUUAGGGGAGUUAAUUAUUCAGAAACUGAAUGGCUCAGAUAUUUUUCCUGUCUUUCAAAAGCUCUAAAGCUUAACUGUUUUUCCCAAAAUAGGAGAUAUUCAUAGAAGCAGAGUUAUAGAGUGGUUUGGGUUGGAAGGGGCCCUUGGGAUCAUCCAGUUCCAACCCCUUGCCAUGGGCAGGGAUACCUCCUACUAUCCCAGCUUGCUCAGAGCUACAUCCAGCCUGACCUUGGGCACUGCCAGGGAUGGGGCAGCCACAGCUGCUCUGGGAAACCUGUGCCAGGGCCUCAACACCCUCACAGGGAACAUUUUUUUUCCAACACCCAGUCUAAUCCUGCUCUCUGUCAAUGUGAAACCAUUCCCCCUUGUCCAGGCCCUUGUCAAGAGUUUCCUUCCACUAUGGAUGCACAGUUUCAAGAAACUCAUGGCCUUGGACUCCAGCUUCUGUCUUUCCAGGGGAUGGUUUGGGGAAGCCUGGGAGGACAGGGAGCCACAUCCUGUUCUUUAUUAGUUUCUGUGUGUUUGCACAAAACACAAAACAAGUCAGAGCUGCACAGGCCUCUGAGCUGCUGCCAUUUCAUGGCAUAAUUCAGGGCCAGAAGGCAGAAUGACAGAAUUACUCAAAUGAAUCAAGUGUUUCCAUAGUCCAGCCUGCUGCUCAAAGCAGCAUUAUAUCUGAAAUGAGGUCAGGUUGUGCAGAAAUGUGUUAGGUUGGGUCUUCAAAACCUUUAACACCGUAGACUGCCCAUCACCACAACCUCUCUAGGUUGCUGUGCUUUGAUAUUUUCCUGUGCCUCUUUUCCCCACCCUUAUGUCCAGUAGGAACCUCUCUUGCUUCAAUCCAGGACCCUUAUCCAUUGUUCUGGAGCUGGGCAUGUGAGAUCCGUGCUUUUGGCCUUGACAAAAACCUGUUAGGGAUUGGAAGGUGGCUUUAAUGUGUCCCCAAAGUUUAAUUUUUGGUGUAAUCAAGCUCCAUUUCUUCAGCUGCUUCUCACAGGACAAACUCUCAAGGCUGGACAACUUUGGUGCCAUUCCACUGAAGUUAUUACAGUUUACUUUUAAGACUCCCUGAAAUAGCUGUUCAUGCUUUAGAAGUGGUUUAUGAUUCAUCCAAAAGGAUGGAUAAUCCUGGCUAAAACAUUUUGACUGGAUUUCCUACAGGCCUGUACACAAAUAUAUGAACACAGCAUCUGUUUUCUGUUCCCUUGACUUCCUGUCUGGGUCGUGUCUUUAAUUUUGUGUCUCUCCCAUGACACCCAGGAAGUCCUAGACUCUUGCCACAGAGAAAAUACAGAGGUUUUGCCUCUGACUUGAACGAAGCCAUGAAAGGGUUUUUUAAGUUUUUGUCUUACUCCUACUGCUUGUGUCAUUAUUUAGGCAGAACAUCAAGGAAAUGCUUCUUAGAAACGUACAUCUAUGGUUCUUCAGGUAGAAAAAACCCUGGAUAUCACUGCAUAUGUCUUAUUAUCUAGGUAAAUGUUAAAAAGUGAAAGUAAUGUAUAUUAAUACUGAGUUUUCCUGUCAAUUCAAAUGAUCACAUUAUUAAUAGAGCCUGGAUUCCCAACCCUUCAUGACACCAUAAAAGAAUGUUCCUUCUCUUCUCAGACUUGGUCAAAGAAAAUCACUUCAGGAAUGGAAAUGAAUUAUAUAAAGCUGUACCCUGGCUAUCUGACAACCUCACAUCUUCCCAGCAGGCACAGUCCUAACUUUAUCCCAGCACAGUGCUCAGGCUAAUGUGAGUCAUCUGAUAACCUCCUCGUUGUGCACUGACCUCAACCUUGGACCAAAAUAAACAGAAAUUCGAUUACAAACCUCUCCUUGGUGCCCUCACCCUCCCUCCAGUGUGUCUGCAGCUCUGAGCAGAGUGGCAGACUGGGCUUGGCUUUCUUUCCCAUCCGGAGGUGCUGAAAUGGGAGCUGAGCUGGGGAUGGGUUGUGUUUGUCCUCC
ensembl:lncRNA